GUUUGCCAGGCUGGUCUGAAACUCCUGAUCUUGUGAUCUGCUCGCCUUGGCUUCCCAAAGUGCUGGGAUUAUAGGAUUGAGACCCGCCCCCACCGCCCCAGCCCGCCAGAUCUACCUAAGGGCCAGAGGCCCGCGAAGUUUGCCUGUGAAAAGAAAAGUGUCUCAGCCCUCAACCCACUCCUUGGGGAAGGCGCCUUUUCAACCCACCCACCAGCAGGGUCUCAAAGGAAGUAAUGGACAUAAAUCAAAAGAUGCUGCUGAUGGCCUUGGCAGAUCAGCAAGACACAGCAAAUCUGUCAACCCAGCUCAGCUGCCGUAGCUGUCCUGUUCCAGCCACUGGUUCACACACAUCGGACAGGUGCACCCUGGAGGCCGUGGGCACGUGACUUCCAAUACAGUGUCACAUGAUGGGCCACGUCAGUGGUCCACCACCCUGCAUCAUUUGACAUAAACCAGGGAACACGCAGGCCCCAAGGGAUGCCACCUGGUAUCAGAGAGAAGCCACGGGCCCACCCUACCUUCAGAGCAGUCUCAAUGCCCAGCGGCUUGCACUCGAGGACAGCUUUGGCCACAGCAUCACGGAGAGCCUUGUAUUCAUCGCCGUACACCAGAUUUCGUGACAUCAAGCAUUGGUCAUUUGGAAAAUACUGGUUCACUGGGCUGUGCAAGUCUUGUAAAGGUUGACACAUUUUUAUUCUGCGUUUAAAAAAAAAAAUCCAUAUUCAUUAAUAUCACCACAAAUUGCCCCAAAAUAUCUUUAAGUAUUCGAAAGCUCGCAGGCUCAUAGUGAAGAAUAUAAGCUUUUCAGAAUUUCAAUUUCAGCUUAAGAGCUUGAAUGUUAUCAUCACCAACCAACAUUGUCAGUUGUUUGGCUGAGGCCGGCUCGCUUUGCUGAUUUCCAGGAGAGGCCGACCCAGCCCUGGACACCUGCAUCGUGUGCAUCCUUCCUCCCGGCACGAGUGGCGGUCCGUGAACACGGCAGCCGGCUGAUAACUCAGGGCUUGUCAUGAGUGAUUUUCUGCGAGGCAACUGUCUACUGCAGUGCGUAGUGGGAGUGUUUUCUGUGCGCUUCCCAUUUCCACAAAACAUUAAGAAAUCAAAUCCUCAAGAGUCAAGAUUUAGUAAAACGAAUGAAACUGGCAUGAAGAAGAAAGCCACGUGUGCAUGGCGGUGAAGAGAACAAUGUCUACAGCUGCUGCGUGUUCACGUGAGGGGCCAGCAGUUUCACCCACCACCGCUUUUGUAACAUCAUAAGCACCAACAUGUGUUUUAAAAAGGGCAAAUUUAUCUUAUAAUCUAAUUUUUAAAAUAGUUUUAACCUCAGAGACCCACCUCACACCCAAGGGUCCAUACCAACACUUUGAGAACUGCAAUAUUAGAUCAAUACAAGUACCACAGGUGAUACUAUUCUUGGAUGUCAACAUCCUUUCACAAGGAAAUAGAGCCCAUGGUCAGGGGAAUAGAAACUUAGAAGACAUCUAGGACAUUCAGGGUGAGCAGGAUUCUAAGCUACCAUCCGAAAAAUCAGAAAGCUGGACCACUGUGGAACCAGGCUCAGCCCACAGAUUCUGCCCUCUUGAGUUGUGUCCUUCACACCACCGUGGUCCCUUCACGGCACUGUUGGCUUCUUGCUAGAUGUGUGCUUGUGGGAAUACUAAACUCAUGUGCCUACAUGUGACAAUGUCAGAAUACACAGCCAGUACAAGUAACCAGGUCGUGUCUCACCGAAAAAGCUCCCCAAGAUCAUGUACUACCUACUAGUCACGACGAGAAGACUUGGUAACAAAGAGAACGCCACAAUGAAGAGAAAAAGGCAGGGCUUUCUAGAAGCAAGUCUCCAUGUUGUUCUUACCUGUACUUCAAAAGCAGUUUCAGUAUCACUGAGCGGAUGACAGGAGUCUUAUCCACAACAUCAUUGAAUGGAGAGAGAGAUUUUGUGUGUUCACGGCGUCCUUAAACCAGAAAGAGAAAGGCAGCUCACUGCAUGAGACAUGCAGAAGUGAGAUGAAGAAGUGAGCUGCUAGGUUUACAGGAAGAAAGCAACCUACUCUGGGGA